rnacentral:rRNA from 1 species
GAUGAACGCUGGCGGCGUGCCUAAUACAUGCAAGUCGAGCGAACAGACGAGGAGCUUGCUCCUCUGACGUUAGCGGCGGACGGGUGAGUAACACGUGGAUAACCUACCUAUAAGACUGGGAUAACUUCGGGAAACCGGAGCUAAUACCGGAUAAUAUAUUGAACCGCAUGGUUCAAUAGUGAAAGACGGUUUUGCUGUCACUUAUAGAUGGAUCCGCGCCGCAUUAGCUAGUUGGUAAGGUAACGGCUUACCAAGGCGACGAUGCGUAGCCGACCUGAGAGGGUGAUCGGCCACACUGGAACUGAGACACGGUCCAGACUCCUACGGGAGGCAGCAGUAGGGAAUCUUCCGCAAUGGGCGAAAGCGUGACGGAGCAACGCCGCGGGAGUGAUGAAGGUCUUCGGAUCGUAAAACUCUGUUAUUAGGGAAGAACAAAUGUGUAAGUAACUAUGCACGUCUUGACGGUACCUAAUCAGAAAGCCACGGCUAACUACGUG